rnacentral:rRNA from 1 species
GACGAACGCUGGCGGCGUGCUUAACACAUGCAAGUCGAACGGAAAGGCCCUGCUUUUGUGGGGUGCUCGAGUGGCGAACGGGUGAGUAACACGUGAGUAACCUGCCCUUGACUUUGGGAUAACUUCAGGAAACUGGGGCUAAUACCGGAUAGGAGCUCCUGCUGCAUGGUGGGGGUUGGAAAGUUUCGGCGGUUGGGGAUGGACUCGCGGCUUAUCAGCUUGUUGGUGGGGUAGUGGCUUACCAAGGCUUUGACGGGUAGCCGGCCUGAGAGGGUGACCGGCCACAUUGGGACCGAGAUAAGGCCCAGACUCCUACGGGAGGCAGCAGUGGGGAAUAUUGCACAAUGGGCGGAAGCCUGAUGCAGCAACGCCGCGUGCGGGAUGACGGCCUUCGGGUUGUAAACCGCUUUCGCCUGUGACGAAGCGUGAGUGACGGUAAUGGGUAAAGAAGCACCGGCUAACUACGUG